CUUACCUCCAUCUGAAAUCAUUUGUGGCCUCACACUGCAAGGGUCCAUGUGCCGAACCACCAAAUAUUGGCGCCUUAGAACAGAUAUGCCUACAGGGCAGUAUACCCAAAAAAAUCCUGUCGAAACUAUAUGCGCUACUGAAUGCAGUAGAUACAAACAGACACGGAGACUUUAGAGAUGCCUGGCAGAAAGACAUAGGACGCCCAAUAGCAGACCUAGACUGGAAACAGGCAUUCCAAACACACAAAGGGCACACAUCAUGCACGACUCACCUAGAAACAAUGAGGAAAAUUAUGUACAGAUGGUAUAUGGUCCCAGACAAACUAGCGAAACUAUACCCGGGAAGCUCAGGGGAAUGCUGGAGGAGUUGCGGAGAAAGGGGGACAAUGUACCACAUUUGGUGGACGUGCCCGAUAAUCACUCCCUACUGGGAGAUGGUGGAAGAGAUAAUCACUGACAUGAUAGGCCGCCCUUACAGCUUGGGGCCUGAACAGGGCAUACUAUUCAUGCAUUUUGCCCAAUGGCACAAGCAGGAAAGACAAUUGAUAUUCCAAGUGCUCAUAGCGGCAGUAACCCUGAUAGCCAGACAGUGGAAACAACCACAAGCACCCAGCAAACACGAUCUCCUAACACAAACAUCCACAAACUGGGAAUAUGAGGCUAUGGCAAAUAAAUACAUUACAAAUAACCACACGAUCAUAGACACAAAAAACAAAUGGGCAAAAUACAUUCAGAGAAGUUCACACCACUCCAGAACUCAGGACGCAUAGGUACGCUAAGACACGAGAGAUCGAGUAGAGAACCAAAGCUAGAGAGACGGGGAACGUCUGAGACUUGACCUGGGAGGAGGUCCUAACACAUAGAACCGAUGGUACAUUGGAGGUAGAAAGGUAGAACUAGCAACUAGGAAACAUAGGCCCUGAGGGAGGGCAAAGAGGAACACCAUUUUCAAGAGGUCCACAAACUGAAUCUCUUCCCCUUUCUUCCCUUAAUUCUUUCCCUUCC